GACGAACGCUGGCGGCGUGCCUAACACAUGCAAGUGGAGCGACGAACCAGGGCUUGCCCUGGGGCAAAGCCGCGAACGGGUGAGUAACACGUGGGUAACCUGCCCCGAUGACCGGGACAACCCGAGGAAACUCGGGCUAAUACCGGAUGUGCUCCACACACAACAGUGUGUGGAGUAAAGGAAGCUUCGGCCUCCGCUUCGGGAGGGGCCCGCGGCCCAUUAGCUAGUUAGGGAGGUAACGGCGCACCAAGGCAACGAUGGGUAGCUGGUCUGAGGGGGCGAUCAGCCACACUGGGACUGAGACACGGCCCAGACGCCGACGGGAGGCAGCAGUGGGGAAUCUUGCGGAAUGCGCGAAGGCGUGACGCGGCAGCGCCGCGUGGGGGAAGAAGGCCUUCGGGUUGUAAACCCCUUUCAGGAGGGACGAAGGUUCGGCGGCGAACAGCCGUCCGGACUGACGGUACCUCCAGAAGAAGCCCCGGCUAACUACGUGCCAGCCGCCGCAUAA
rnacentral:rRNA from 1 species